rnacentral:rRNA from 1 species
GACGAACGCUGGCGGCGUGCUUAACACAUGCAAGUCGAACGGAAAGGCCCUGCUUUUGUGGGUGCUCGGGUGGCGAACGGGUGAGUAACACGUGAGUUACCUGCCCUUGACUUUGGGAUAACUUCAGGAAACUGGGGCUAAUACCGGAUAGGAGCUCCUGCUGCAUGGUGGGGGUUGGAAAGUUUCGGCGGUUGGGGAUGGACUCGCGGCGUAUCAGCUUGUUGGUGGGGUAGUGGCUUACCAAGGCUUUGACGGGUAGCCGGCCUGAGAGGGUGACCGGCCACAUUGGGACUGAGAUACGGCCCAGACUCCUACGGGAGGCAGCAGUGGGGAAUAUUGCACAAUGGGCGGAAGCCUGAUGCAGCAACGCCGCGUGCGGGAUGACGGCCUUCGGGUUGUAAACCGCUUUCGCCUGUGACGAAGCGUGAGUGACGGUAAUGGGUAAAGAAGCACCGGCUAACUACGUG